AGUUCUCAAGCUAAGAAAGUUGU
rnacentral:snRNA from 1 species